CACCAUGUCAUUAAGCUAACUGAACAGGCCAACUUUUCUCAGGAAGGCGGUGAGGGCAGGGGAGCAGGUAAUAAUAACUUUGGAUUUGGCAAUUGUCAUUCACAUCCUGACCGACCUCUGCCACUGUUCUUUUCUGGAACUACGAGAUCCACCAGCCCCUGCCAAGGGCAGGGAAGAUAAAUGCUAUGCAUGGGGAAGAAUUAUUCUUGCUAAUGAUCUCCGCCUUAGAAAACCUCAGCCCUUGAUGAGACCCUCAGUUCAUCUUUCUACAUUUGUUGAGGCUUCAACCAACAGAGGCAACAAGAAAGCCAUUUCCAACAACAAGGGCCUGCCUGUGUCAACAGCAAGAGGGUAAUCGCCUUGCAAUUAGCUCUUCAAUGGAUAUUCCUUGCAAGAAUUAAAAUUCUAUUAGGCCUUUUCCAAGAUAGCUCCUUCCAGAACUCAGUUCAUCCAGGUCAAAAAAGCACUGGAAGGUAAAUUGGCAACCACUCAUCGUAUCACAUGAUGUUUUCCAAAAUGUAAGACUGUCCCAAUCAAAGGAGCUGGUAGCAAACAUAAUGAACGUCAGCUGAGACUCUAUAAACCAAAAAAGCCCUGGGUUGACUGUGUUCAUGUGAUUUCAAAAGAGGGUAAUCUGCAGGGGAUGUUUCUGCAGGGCCUACUUUGCACCCUUUGCUACCCUUUAGAUACCAUUUGACCUCAUUUUCCUCUCUGCGUGAUGGCCAAACCACAGGCUCCCUCUUCUUUCUGGCCCCAUGAGCAUUAAUCAACUUCAACCUUCCCCAAGACCUAGCAGGAGAGAUGCAGUACCUACUUCUUAAUAAACUCAAACUGUCAUCGAAGAUGAAAGACGAGACUGCAAAAGCUUCGAGCAUCCCAACUCCCCAGCUUGCCAAGUGCUGGGAAUCCGGAGGGGAGUGCCCUCGAGGACAGGUCUCUGUGGAUGGUGCAGAAAAGUCAGCUAGCUGCCUUCUCUUUUUUCCCUUCUCCUUCUUCCCCUAAAUGCUCCCUCAGUGAUACCACUGUGUCUGCAGUAGAGAGAGACUGUCUAGCUGUUUCUUUUUCAGCAAGACAAUUUGGUGUGUGGUCUGUGGUGCCCACACAUUCUUCUUUGCAAUGAGUGGUGGGUGAACAGUGUUUUCCAAGUUGGAUGUUACAGUACCAUAAGUAGAAACAGAUCUCCCAGAGCUCCGAACACUUUUUCUGCCUGAGUUGGGAGGAUCAGCAGGCUCCUGUGUAGAUGGCCCAGCAGAUUCCUUGGGAGCAGCUUUGCAGCAUUUCCCUACUCACUGGCCCUCACCAAUCAUAAUGAAAGCUCAAUUAGGUGGUGGACUUCCACUUUUGUAACUGCCAGGCUAGUUAUAGCAUUACACGUUCAUGCAAGAUCAAGCUGAGAUAUUUGGAAUCGGUACAUGUAACUAUUUAAAUGACCGGGAUGCUAACUGCUCUCUACACAUUCCCACCCCCAAACCCCUUUCACCAAGCAGCUGGUACUAAAUUUUUAGGGGAGGAAACUGAAGCCCUAGCUUGUUAGCACUGUCAGGGCCAACCCAGGAUUUGAUGCCUAUUUAACUGUAAGAUCAUUCUGUCUCUCUCUGUUUCUUUUCAAUUAAUCAUGUAUCAAUUCAGCUAAGGUUAGAAUCUUAUCUUUGCAUUCAUAAGAGAUAAUUUAUACAUUAUGCCUACCUCAGUAUUUGGCACACUGUAUUUGGAGGCAGUUGAAUCAUGUUAAUCCCUGCCCCCAAAUCACCUAGAUAAGUUUUUUAUUGCUACUUCCCUCCCUGGUAAAUAGAAAAGAGACGCUCUUUUCCAGCUACCUGGUGAGAAGAAAGUCUGUCCAACUUGGCUCGUGUUUCCUCUACUUGGGGAGCUGUGCCCUGCAGAUGGUAUAGCCCAGCCCCUUCAGGGACACUUAGAAGAACUGAUGGCAUCAUGUGAGGACUGAGGUCUCCUUUCUGGUAGUUUCUGAAGAAUUAAUGAAACGGUAAACUUUGCAGGAUCUCAACACACAGGCUUUGUUUUUCCCUUACUUCUUGUUUUGCAAAGAAAGGCCCCUGCUGGCCUUUUAAGCCCAAGGAAAACUUAACAAACACUUGCUGCAAAACACCUUGCUUUUUACCCUGCAUCAAAUAACCUCCCCCACUCCAGAGAUUUGCGUUCCAAUCUCUGCAAAGGAGCAGCGAGAGGAAGCAGGAUAUUGAGUCUCAUUAAGUUUCUUUGCUGUGUCAGUCAUCUUUCCCAGAGGGGGAGGUAAUAUUCUCUUCAUAAUAUUCAGCCCCUCUCACAAGUUGGCAGCUCCUUUCUCUCAACUUAUAUUCUUAGCUAAGAAUGUGUUCACAGGGAUUUUUUAAAAGCCUCCCCAAAUACCUGUUUACUGACUUUCUCAGAGCGUUUCUGAGAUGGCACAAGGAUGUGUGGUCUCUGAAGUCAGCUUCCUCUUGCUAAUGAGGCUCAGCUCAGCACCUCUCCCCAGCACUCCAGGCAGGGGUUGGGGGAGCCCGCUCUGCCCCUCUUCCUGUC
rnacentral:lncRNA from 1 species